rnacentral:rRNA from 1 species
AGAGUUUGAUCAUGGCUCAGAUUGAACGCUUGCGGUAUGCUUUACACAUGCAAGUCGUACGAGAAUAAAUUUACGAAUUUAUUCUAGUGGCGAACGGGUGAGUAAUACAUUUAAACGUGCCUUACAGUUAGGAAUACAUUAAUGAAAAUUAAUAUAAUACCUAAUAAAAAUAAUCUUAGGAUAAAAGCGGGGAAAACCUCGCGCUGUGAGAUCGGUUUAUGUCUGAUUAGUUUGUUGGUUUUUGAUUUAAAAGAUCACCAAGACUUUGAUCAGUAGCUAUUCUUUGCGGAUGUAUAGCCACACUGGGAUUGAGAUAAGGCCCAGACUUCUACGGAAGGCAGCAGUGAGGAAUAUUGGACAAUGAGCGAAAGCUUGAUCCAGCAAUACCGCGUGUGUGAUUAAGGGAGACUGUAAGGCACUUUUUUUAGGGAAUAAGAAAUUUUAAUUAAUAAUUAAAAUUUUUGAAUGUACCUAAAGAAUAAGUACCGGCUAAUCACGUGCCAGCAGCCGCGGUAAUACGUGAGGUGCUAGCGUUAAUCAGAAUUAUUGGGCGUAAAGUGUGCUAAGGUGGUUUAAAAAGAUUUAUAUUAAAUCUUUAAUUUAUUUUAAAGAAGUUUAAAUUACUUUUAAACUUGAGUUUAGUAUAGAAAAAAGAAUUUUAUGUGUAGCCAGUGAAAUGCGUUGAUAUAUAAAGGAAUGCCGAAGGCGAAAGCAUUUUUCUGGACUAAUACUGACACUUAUGCACGAAAGCGUGGGGAGCAAACAGGAUUAGAUACCCUGGUAGUCCACGCCCUAAACUAUGCUAAUUAACUAUUAGAUUUCUAGUGGUGUAGCUAACGCGUUAAAUUAGCCGCCUGGGUAUUACGAUCGCAAGAUUAAAACUCAAAGGAAUUGACGGGGACCAGCACAAGCAGUGGAUGAUGUGGAUUAAUUCGAUGGUACACGAAAAACCUUACCUACUCUUGACAUAGUUAGAAUUUUAUUGAAAAAUAAAAGUGCUUGAAAAAGAACUAACAUACAGGUGUUGCAUGGCUGUCGUCAGCUCGUGUCGUGAGAUGUUGGGUUAAGUCCCGCAACGAGCGUAACCCCCACUCUUAGUUGCUAAUUUUAAAGAACUUUAAGAGAACAGCUAACGAUAAGUUUUAGAGGAAGGAGGGGAUGACUUCAAGUCCUCAUGGCCCUUAUGGGUAGGGCUUCACACGUCAUACAAUGGUUAGUACAAAAAGUUGCAAAAUCGUGAGAUCUAGCUAAUCUUUAAAACUAAUCUCAGUUCGGAUUGUAUUCUGCAACUCGAAUACAUGAAGCCGGAAUUGCUAGUAAUCGUGAAUCAGCGUGUCACGGUGAAUACGUCAACUGGUCUUGUACACACCGCCCGUCACACCAUGGAA